GAUGAAGAACGCAGCGAAAUGCGAUAAGUAAUGUGAAUUGCAGAAUUCAGUGAAUCAUCGAAUCUUUGAACGCACCUUGCGCCCUUUGGCCAUUCCGAAGGGCAUGCCUGUUUGAGUAUCAUGAACACCUCAACUCUUCAUGGUUUUCCGUGAUGAGCUUGGACUUUGGGGGUCUUGCUGGCCUAUGGUCAGCUCCUCUAAAAUAAAUCAGCUUGCCAGUGUUUGGUGGGUAUCACAGGUGUGAUAACUAUCUACGCUUGUGGUUUUCCACCAGGUAACCUUCAGCAGUGGAGGUUCGCUGGAGCUCACAGAUGUGUCUCUCCUCAGUGAGGACAGCUCUUUAAAUGUUUGAUCUCAAAUCAGGUAGGACUACCCGCUGAACUUAAGCAUAUCAAUAAGCGGAGGA
rnacentral:misc_RNA from 1 species